AUUGAACGCUGGCGGCAUGCCUUACACAUGCAAGUCGAACGCGAAAGGGGGGCAACCCCCGAGUAGAGUGGCGGACGGGUGAGUAAUACAUCGGAACGUACCCAGUAGUGGGGGACAACCUCGAGAAAUCGAGGCUAAUACCGCAUACGACCUACGGGUGAAAGCGGGGGACCGCAAGGCCUCGCGCUAUUGGAGCGGCCGAUGUCCGAUUAGCUAGUUGGUAGGGUAAAAGCCUACCAAGGCGACGAUCGGUAGCUGGUCUGAGAGGACGACCAGCCACACUGGGACUGAGACACGGCCCAGACUCCUACGGGAGGCAGCAGUGGGGAAUUUUGGACAAUGGGGGCAACCCUGAUCCAGCCAUGCCGCGUGCGGGAAGAAGGCCUUCGGGUUGUAAACCGCUUUCGGCCGGAACGAAAUCGCCGGGGAGAACACCCCCGGUGGAUGACGGUACCGGAAGAAGAAGCACCGGCUAACUACGUGCCAGCCGCCGCAGUAAAAC
rnacentral:rRNA from 1 species